UGUAGGAUCACUGCAAUUUGUAGACAAAAGGCAUUUUUUCAUUUGUCCACAGGGUUGGUUGCUGCAGGUUCCAUUUUACUGUGUCUCAUUAUUAAGAAGCCUUUUGUUAUCCAGUCUUUUCUAUAUCAACUUCCAACUGCAUCAAAUCCCCAUUUAAAUACACUUCAAUACAUUGAAACGAGUUAUAGAACAACCAACCAUGAUUCAGAGAACAGAAAAAGAACAAUUAAGAAGGUAUACUUAGUACACAAGUUCAAAAUGACCCUUACUCAGCAAGAAAAGAUUAUAAAAAACAUGUACAAGGGAGAGAGAAGUGAGAUACACAAAAAUAUCACAUCAUUUUCAGUACCCUUCCUUCAUUCCAAAGGCGUUCCAAAGUCUUCUCCCUUCUCGCCAAGGAGCUCUUAUCAACUUAAUUUUCCUAGCCACACUAGACAACUUCUCUUGCGUAUCAAUACCUCUUGACAGCUCUUCUGAAUAAAGUCUGAGAACAAUGUGCUUACAGUGGCAUAUCUGACAGGGAAAAAUGACUCUUUAUUGCUGAUUAAUAUAAAGGAGAGCUUCUGAGCAUGGAACAUUUCUAAGGGUGCUAUUGGAUAAAUUCCUCCAAGGUACUCUGGCAAAGCUGUUCCAAGAGUUCUGUAUUAUUUUAGGGAUACCAUGUAACGAAGUAGAAACAGUAGUUAAUUUAAGACAAGGAGAACUAGACCUGCAUUUUGGUUCUGCCAUAGUACUGGUCAAUCCCCCUAGAAAUUCAAUUUCUUCAACUAUAAAACAGAUAAUCUUAAGAAUUUCAGAGAAUUUUUAUGGUGAUUCAAAGAAAACACAGUAAUCUACCUAACCAAAAAAGAACUUGCAUAUUUCAGGCACCAAAAAAAUAAGUGGUAGUUAUUCUCACUGAAACACUGUAACUGGGACUUCUCACGUGGUCCAGUGGUUAAGACUCUGAACUUCAAAUGCAGGGGCCAAGGUUUCAAUCCCUGGUCAGCGAACUAAGAUCCCAUAUGCUGUGUGCAGUGUGGCCAAGAUAACAGAAAAAGACACUGUAACCUAAAUUUCUUUACAAUUAAAGGGCAGUUUUCUCAAAUAUGAGUAUACUACUGUAUUAUUUUCAGCAUCUGAUUUAUGAUUUUAUAAAACUGAUUAAAAAUAUAAUGCAGGCUUUUCAGAUUAAGACUAAAUUUUACCUUAACUAUAACUUCCCUAGAAAAUGAAGUAGCUUUUAUAAUGGCAGUUGCUGGUGUUGAUACUUUUUGCUCUCAAACUAGAAGCAAGAAAUAUAACUAAGGCAACACUAACAAAAUACAACCUUGGAGAAAAAUAUACUUGAAAGGCGGCUGGUACAGUGACACCACCUAUGGCAGAAAGUGAAGAACUAAAGAGCCUCUUGAUGAAAGUGAAAGA
rnacentral:lncRNA from 1 species